rnacentral:misc_RNA from 1 species
UCACCCCUCAAGCCCUGUGCUUGGUGUUGGACGGCCGGUCGAGCGAUCGACCCCUCCUAAAGACAAUGACGGCGGCCUGUGGUUCCCCCGGUACACUGAGCUUCUCACCGAGCACGUAUCGGACAAGGGCACCCGGGACCCCGGUCUUCUCCUUUCACAAAAGGAACCUUUCUAU